rnacentral:piRNA from 10 species
UGAGACUCUUAAUCUCAGGGUCGUGGGU